CCCCUAGAUGUUCUGGGCCGCACGCGCGCUACACUGAACAGUUCAACAAGUCUUAACCUCGGCCGAUAGGUCUGGGUAAUCUUUGAACGCUGUUCGUGAUUGGGAUAGACCUUUGCAAUUAUGGGUCUUCAACGAGGAAUUCCUAGUAAACGCAAGUCAUCAGCUUGCAUUGAUUACGUCCCUGCCCUUUGUACACACCGCCCGUCGCACCUACCGAUUGAAUGGUCCGGUGAAAUCUCGGGACGGCGGCUUGGUCGCUUGCGUCCGACUGCUGAAACUUGAUUAAACCAUNUNAUUUAUNGGAAGGUGAANUCGUANCA
rnacentral:rRNA from 1 species